GGGCUAAAUAGUUCUUCAUAAAAUUACGGUAUACCAGAUUUAAUAUAGAAUACAGUACUUUCAAAAUAGAGAUUUGACUCACUUGUCAAGCAAGCAUAGAGGAAUUAGGAAACAUACAGACAUGACAUAAACAAGCAAAUUUUUGGAAUUUAAAAUGAUGCUAAAGUACUUGGAUUAACCUUAUUCGCAUUGUCGCGCCCCAUUUUUCGCGAUGGAAAAAGAAAGAUAAAGGUGGUUUAGAAAAGAUGUGAUUUUAUUUUAAAACAAGUUAAAAGGGACCUAAAAUGGGACUUUAAAAAAUGCGACAAUUUGGGUCCAAAAAUUUAGUCUAAAAAGGGUUUUUUAGAAAAAAUAGGAGUCACCACUUGGUAUCGAGUUUUGGUGUACCAAGUCACCCGAAAAAUAUUUUUGACAGAAAUAAAAUAAAUCAAAACCCUUUUUGACAACUCCAGGUCUUUGAAAACAAGAGAAAUGGGUUCGGGAGUCACGGUUGAAGAAAGGGAAGGCAAAGGUUCAAUUGACUCAAACCUAAGGCACCCUUUCAACCUAAUCUAAGCUAGUUGCGAGGUUUAGUCAAAAUUUUCCUAAUCUAACCCUUAAUUUUAUCAUAUUUGGAUGUUUCCUACAUGGAUGCAAAUCUAAAUUUAUAAAAACAUUGAAAGGGACAAAAUGUUCAUUCAAGGGUUUGAUUGAACCAACCGCAUUAAUUGCGAAAGCCAAAAUAACUCCUUGAAAGUGUCACGAAUAUGCAAAUGAUGAAAUUAAAAGAAAAGAAGAGAAAAGAAAUUAAAUUAUAUACAUAUAUAAAUGAUCAAAGGAAAAGGGAAUGCAACAUAAAGGGUACGGGAGACAAAAACUCGUGACAUAAUUUUCUUAUACAUGGAUUAAUAGAGUAUUUAAACUAAAAAGUUAUAAUCACCCAUUUCCCAUGUUAAAAAAAAAAAAAAAAUAACU
rnacentral:lncRNA from 1 species